rnacentral:rRNA from 1 species
UAUACAUGCAAGUCGAGCGAAUGGAUUGAGAGCUUGCUCUCAAGAAGUUAGCGGCGGACGGGUGAGUAACACGUGGGUAACCUGCCCAUAAGACUGGGAUAACUCCGGGAAACCGGGGCUAAUACCGGAUAACAUUUUGAACUGCAUGGUUCGAAAUUGAAAGGCGGCUUCGGCUGUCACUUAUGGAUGGACCCGCGUCGCAUUAGCUAGUUGGUGAGGUAACGGCUCACCAAGGCAACGAUGCGUAGCCGACCUGAGAGGGUGAUCGGCCACACUGGGACUGAGACACGGCCCAGACUCCUACGGGAGGCAGCAGUAGGGAAUCUUCCGCAAUGGACGAAAGUCUGACGGAGCAACGCCGCGUGAGUGAUGAAGGCUUUCGGGUCGUAAAACUCUGUUGUUAGGGAAGAACAAGUGCUAGUUGAAUAAGCUGGCACCUUGACGGUACCUAACCAGAAAGCCACGGCUAACUACGUGCCAGCAGCCGCGGUAAUACGUAGGUGGCAAGCGUUAUCCGGAAUUAUUGGGCGUAAAGCGCGCGCAGGUGGUUUCUUAAGUCUGAUGUGAAAGCCCACGGCUCAACCGUGGAGGGUCAUUGGAAACUGGGAGACUUGAGUGCAGAAGAGGAAAGUGGAAUUCCAUGUGUAGCGGUGAAAUGCGUAGAGAUAUGGAGGAACACCAGUGGCGAAGGCGACUUUCUGGUCUGUAACUGACACUGAGGCGCGAAAGCGUGGGGA